GCGCUCUGGAGAAUCCCGAAUUCGGGUGCCGAAGGUGUAAGUACGGGGUCGUUACGUACGAAUCUCUCAGGCAAAAGGACGGAGA
rnacentral:ncRNA from 1 species